GGUCGAACGGUUGCCUGAAUGUUUUUUCUAGUCGUCACCGCACUUUUGGGGUUGCAGUUAGCAUGGUGGGUUGAUGGACGCAGUGCUGUGGGAGGCAAGUGAAGAAUCAUAAACGAACAAAACGGACAACAACGCAGCAGUUCCAAAAGCUGGUUGCAAUUAUGGAAAACAAUCCAGACGUCGCUAGAGGAAUGGGAAGCUUCGGUUCCACGAAGAAAAUCAGGGCAGAGCUGUGGGAAAAUUCGCAACUGAACUUAACGCUAUUGGUCCUCCAAUGCGUAACGGACGCGAGUGGAAUAAGGUAAGAACUGAACUAGUUUGUGUUGCCGUAGUUACUUAUGAGUACUAUUUAGGUUUGGUUGGAUUACAAGCUAAAGC